rnacentral:rRNA from 1 species
UACGAAGGGGGCUAGCGUUGCUCGGAAUCACUGGGCGUAAAGCGCACGUAGGCGGCUUACUAAGUCAGGGGUGAAAUCCUGGAGCUCAACUCCAGAACUGCCUUUGAUACUGGUGAGCUUGAGUCCGGAAGAGGUGAGUGGAACUGCGAGUGUAGAGGUGAAAUUCGUAGAUAUUCGCAAGAACACCAGUGGCGAAGGCGGCUCACUGGUCCGGUACUGACGCUGAGGUGCGAAAGCGUGGGGAGCAAACAGGG